AUGUCAGCACCUGAGAUUCUGCAGUUUGUUACAGCUAUAGAUUGCUAUCCAAAUGUGUCAGUUGCCUAUCGGAUCCUCUUGACUGUACCUGUGACUGUAGCCUCGGCUGAAAGAAGUUUCUCUAAAUUGAAACUACUGAAGAAUUGUUUGAGGUCGACCAUGUUACAAGACAGAUUGAAUGGAUUGGCCAUGUGCUGUAUUGAUAAGGAUAUCUUGGACAACAUUGAUCUUGAUAUUGUCAUCAAUGAUUUUGCUUCUAGAAAUGCCCGAAGAAGUUUUUUCGUGAAGAAUUGA
rnacentral:rRNA from 1 species